rnacentral:rRNA from 1 species
UACGGAGGGUGCAAGUGUUAUUCGGAAUCACUGGGCGUAAAGAGCACGUAGGCGGAUGGGUAAGUCAGAUGUGAAAUCCCGAAGCUUAACUUCGGAACUGCAUUUGAUACUGCUCGUCUUGAGUAUGGUAGAGGGGGAUGGAAUUCCCGGUGUAGAGGUGAAAUUCGUAGAUAUCGGGAGGAACACCAGAGGCGAAGGCGAUCCCCUGGGCCAUUACUGACGCUGAGGUGCGAAAGCGUGGGGAGCAAACAGG